rnacentral:rRNA from 1 species
AUCAAGCGACUAAGUGCACAUGGUGGAUGCCUUGGCGAUCACAGGCGAUGAAGGACGUGGUAGCCUGCGAAAAGCUGCGGGGAGUUGGCAAACAAACUUUGAUCCGCAGAUGUCCGAAUGGGGAAACCCGG